UACGGAGGGUGCAAGCGUUAUCCGGAUUCACUGGGUUUAAAGGGUGCGUAGGUGGCUUUGUAAGUCAGUGGUGAAAGCCUAGAGCUCAACUCUAGAACUGCCAUUGAUACUGCUUAGCUUGAAUCAGGUCGAGGUGGAUGGAAUAUGACAUGUAGCGGUGAAAUGCUUAGAUAUGUUAUAGAACACCGAUUGCGAAGGCAGUUCACUAGACCUGUAUUGACACUGAGGCACGAAAGCGUGGGGAUCAAACAGG
rnacentral:rRNA from 1 species